GAGACUCAGUGAAAUUGAACUCGCUGUGAAGAUGCAGUGUACCCGCGGCAAGACGGAAAGACCCCGUGAACCUUUACUAUAGCUUGACACUGAACAUUGAGCCUUGAUGUGUAGGAUAGGUGGGAGGCUUUGAAGUGUGGACGCCAGUCUGCAUGGAGCCGACCUUGAAAUACCACCCUUUAAUGUUUGAUGUUCUAACGUUGACCCGUAAUCCGGGUUGCGGACAGUGUCUGGUGGGUAGUUUGACUGGGGCGGUCUCCUCCUAAAGAGUAACGGAGGAGCACGAAGGUUGGCUAAUCCUGGUCGGACAUCAGGAGGUUAGUGCAAUGGCAUAAGCCAGCUUGACUGCGAGCGUGACGGCGCGAGCAGGUGCGAAAGCAGGUCAUAGUGAUCCGGUGGUUCUGAAUGGAAGGGCCAUCGCUCAACGGAUAAAAGGUACUCCGGGGAUAACAGGCUGAUACCGCCCAAGAGUUCAUAUCGACGGCGGUGUUUGGCACCUCGAUGUCGGCUCAUCACAUCCUGGGGCUGAAGUAGGUCCCAAGGGUAUGGCUGUUCGCCAUUUAAAGUGGUACGCGAGCUGGGUUUAGAACGUCGUGAGACAGUUCGGUCCCUAUCUGCCGUGGGCGCUGGAGAACUGAGGGGGGCUGCUCCUAGUACGAGAGGACCGGAGUGGACGCAUCACUGGUGUUCGGGUUGUCAUGCCAAUGGCACUGCCCGGUAGCUAAAUGCGGAAGAGAUAAGUGCUGAAAGCAUCUAAGCACGAAACUUGCCCCGAGAUGAGUUCUCCCUGACUCCUUGAGAGUCCUGAAGGAACGUUGAAG
rnacentral:rRNA from 1 species